AGUCUAUCACUGAGAACAAGGCUUGUAUAGCCCACUCCUUCAUUCUUUUAAAACUGUUUCUGUUAAACGUGUUUUUGUAAAAGCUGAAAUAAAUAGCAUAUUUGUGUAAGAGUUCCAGGAACUAACUUCAAAGGAAGCUGACUCCGGUAACUGGAUGUUCUGGCUCCAGGAAACUUGCUGACAUCAUCCAUAAAAGCUAGACCUCUGCUUGACCAGUCUCAAGUAAAACCCCUGCUGCACUGAGAUGUGAAGAUGGUCUACAGGACAGGCGUCCGCCAUCUGCUCAGGCUGCCAGCACUCGAAUAAACUGUCUUCUUGUCCAUCAGCACAUAUGUCUCAAGUACUAGCUUUUGAAGUAACAGGCUCAGGGAAAACCCACAGCUGAUGUCCAGGCUGUCACUGCCUCCCUGGCACUGGCAACUGGGAACUUGAAGACCUAGGCUGGGACCCCCCCACACACACUGGGAUCUGAGGAAUCUAGUGGGGUCACUGGGCCAACAUGACCUGCAGAGAGAGAGAGAGAGAGCCGUGCAGGUGAGCAGAGAGUGGAACAUCAAGAUGCCAUGUGGAGUUAAUGAUGAACUGGCCAAGGUCUCCAGCCUUUGCCCCAUUUGAUGCCCCUUCCUGUGGUCCUGGAGGCUGGGGACAGGGAAGGACUAGACCACAGAAGACCUAGGGUGAGGUGGCUGCAGGGAGGAAGCCUGACUACCGCAUACCCCACCCACAAAGAGCU